UACGUAGGGUGCGAGCGUUGUCCGGAAUUAUUGGGCGUAAAGAGCUCGUAGGCGGUCUGUCGCGUCGAUCGUGAAAACUUGGGGCUUAACCCUGAGCUUGCGGUCGAUACGGGCAUGACUGGAGUUCGGCAGGGGAGACUGGAAUUCCUGGCGUAGCGGUGAAAUGCGCAGAUAUCAGGAGGAACACCGGUGGCGAAGGCGGGUCUCUGGGCCGAUACUGACGCUGAGGAGCGAAAGCGUGGGGAGCGAACAGG
rnacentral:rRNA from 1 species